GCGCGCGGCGAGAGCACGUUGAAUACACUAGUUCCCCACAUGGUUCACUGAAGUUCAGCAACGUUGCGCGUGGUUAGUAUCCGGAUGGGUGACCAUCUGGACAAUCGACUUUUCCUGGCC
rnacentral:rRNA from 1 species